UCCCUGGUGGUCUAGUGGUUAGGAUUCGGCGCUCUCACCGCCGCGGCCUGGGUUCAAUCCCCCUGUCAGGGAA